rnacentral:rRNA from 1 species
UACAGAGGUCUCAAGCGUUGUUCGGAAUCACUGGGCGUAAAGCGUGCGUAGGCUGUUUCGUAAGUCGUGUGUGAAAGGCGCGGGCUCAACCCGCGGACGGCACAUGAUACUGCGAGACUAGAGUAAUGGAGGGGGAACCGGAAUUCUCGGUGUAGCAGUGAAAUGCGUAGAUAUCGAGAGAAACACUCGUGGCGAAGGCGGGUUCCUGGACAUUAACUGACGCUGAGGCACGAAGGCCAGGGGAGCGAAAGGG